rnacentral:rRNA from 1 species
GAUGAACGCUGGCGGCGUGCCUAAUACAUGCAAGUCGAGCGAACAGACGAGGAGCUUGCUCCUCUGACGUUAGCGGCGGACGGGUGAGUAACACGUGGAUAACCUACCUAUAAGACUGGGAUAACUUCGGGAAACCGGAGCUAAUACCGGAUAACAUGUUGAACCGCAUGGUUCAACAGUGAAAGACGGUCUUGCUGUUACUUAUAGAUGGAUCCGCGCCGCAUUAGCUAGUUGGUAAGGUAACGGCUUACCAAGGCAACGAUGCGUAGCCGACCUGAAAGGGUGAUCGGCCACACUGGAACUGAGACACGGUCCAGACUCCUACGAGAGGCAGCAGUAGGGAAUCUUCCGCAAUGGGCGAAAGCCUGACGGAGCAACGCCGCAUGAGUGAAGAAGGUCUUCGGAUCGUAAAACUCUAUUAUUAGGGAAGAACAAAUGUGUAAGUAACUAUGCACGUCUUGACGGUACCUAAUCAGAAAGCCACGGCUAACUACGUG